rnacentral:rRNA from 1 species
AGAGUUUGAUCAUGGCUCAGAACGAACGCUGGCGGCAUGCCUAACACAUGCAAGUCGAACGCUCCCUGGGAUUUCGGUCCUUGGGGGGAGUGGCGCACGGGUGAGUAGCGCGUGGGAACCUGCCCUGUUGUGGGGGAUAACCGAGGGAAACUUCGGCUAAUACCGCAUGCGCCUCUGGGGAGACCUGGAGGGAAAGAUUU